rnacentral:tRNA from 1 species
AGGGACUUAGGUUAAACCAGACCUGGAGCCUUCAAAGCCCCCAGCAGGGGUGAAAACCCCCUAGUCCCUG